rnacentral:rRNA from 1 species
AUACGGAGGAUCCGAGCGUUAUCCGGAUUUAUUGGGUUUAAAGGGAGCGUAGAUGGAUGUUUAAGUCAGUUGUGAAAGUUUGCGGCUCGACCGUAAAAUUGCAGUUGAUACUGGAUAUCUUGAGUGCAGUUGAGGCAGGCGGAAUUCGUGGUGUAGCGGGGAAAUGCUUAGAUAUCACGAAGAACUCCGAUUGCGAAGGCAGCCUGCUAAGCUGCAACUGACAUUGAGGCUCGAAAGUGUGGGUAUCAAACAGGAUUAGAUACCCUGGUAGUCCACACGGUAAACGAUGAAUACUCGCUGUUUGCGAUAUACGGCAAGCGGCCAAGCGAAAGCGUUAAGUAUUCCACCUGGGGAGUACGCCGGCAACGGUGAAACUCAAAUGAAUUGACGGGG